AAGGAUUAGUCGGAUUUCUGAAACAGAUGCUGAUAUAAUUACACAGGAAGAAACAUGACUCGCUGGUUUGAAAAGACACCUUCAGGUGCUUUGUGUUGUGGUCCGCUGGCGGCCUGCGGAGCUGGCAGCAGAGUCGGACAGUGAGGAGACUGGGGAGGAACAUGGGCCAGUCCUGGAGUCUUGGGAAGGCUCGAACAAGGGCUCUGCAUCGGGGGCAGAGAUGGGGCCAGGGCCAUCUGGGAGUUAUGUGCAGACUCUGGAGCCUCCAGAGUUGGACAUCAGCGAGGCAGAGAAACAGGGGGAGCCUGUUCCCAGUGCGCACAUGCACAGAGUUGCCAGAAGGCAAGAACAGUUAAAACAAAAGAGAUGACUCAGGAGUAAGGCUUGGAGAUGAUUGGCCCCUCCCAUAAGACAUAAAGGAGGAGCAGAGGCACGUGAGCCCUUUGCAGGAAGCAACUGUUGUUCGUGCUGGCCGGUUUCAAGACUGCAGUUCUGUGUUGACCCUGUGUUCCUGUGAGUUCCUGUCGGACUCUUUACAAUUAUUUGGGACUCCUCUAUGAAUGAACAGAUUGGGAAUGAACAGGCUUUGAAUGAACAGAAUUCACAGCCGUGGAAAUAAAAAGAGGGUUUUGGGGACUCAUUGUGUGCUUUUAUUGUAUCAGGAAGCCUAGGUCAGAACACUUUGGAGAAUAGGUUUACCCCCUCUUCUUUGUGGCAGCACCUCAAAAAUUGGAACACUGCUGUCAUGUCAUCCCUAGUCCUUCUUUUCAUUAAACUAGACAUACCCAA